AGAAAGAUAAGCUAAUUAAGCUAAUGGGUUCAUACCCCAUUUAUAGAGGUUUUAACCCUCUUCUUUCUA
rnacentral:tRNA from 1 species